rnacentral:rRNA from 1 species
GGUGCGUAACGCGUAUGCAACCUCGCCCCAUCGAAGGGAAUACGCCCGACGAAGGCGGAUUUAAUCGCCCCAUAGGCCCAGGGCGCCGCAUGGCGCUAUGGGUAAAGCUCCGGCGGAUGGGGAUGGGCAUGCGUGCCAUUAGCUAGUUGGGCGGUAACGGCGCACCAAGGCGACGAUGGCUAGGGGGUCUGAGAGGAUGGUCCCCCACACUGGUACUGAGACACGGGCCAGACUCCUACGGGAGGCAGCAGUGAGGAAUAUUGGUCAAUGGGCGGAAGCCUGAACCAGCCCAUGCCGCGUGCAGGAUGACGGCCCUACGGGUUGUAAACUGCUUUUCCCCGGGAAGAAUAAGCCCCUCGUGAGGGGUGAUGCCGGUACCGGGGAAUAAGGAUCGGCUAACUCCGUGCCAGCAGCCGC